rnacentral:rRNA from 1 species
UACGUAGGGCGCAAGCGUUGUUCGGAAUUACUGGGCGUAAAGCGCACGUAGGCGGCUUUGCAAGUCAGAGGUGAAAGCCCGGGGCUCAACCCCGGAAUUGCCUUUGAGACUGCAUCGCUUGAAUCAUGGAGAGGUGAGUGGAAUUCCGAGUGUAGAGGUGAAAUUCGUAGAUAUUCGGAAGAACACCAGUGGCGAAGGCGGCUCACUGGACAUGUAUUGACGCUGAGGUGCGAAAGCGUGGGGAGCAAACAGG